GGAUGUGAGGGUGAUCUGGCUGCGACACCUGUCACCCCAUUGAUGGCCAGGGUUGGUUCUGCUGGUCUGGCAGGUGUCCCCUUCCUCCCUCACCCCUCCUGAAGCUGCACGCUGGGUCAAAGAGGACAAUCUUCCCCGAUAGACACGUACCGUUCAUCGGUCAAGGGAGCGGGGCACCUGAGCUCCCUGGCUAGAACCUCCAAACGAGCUCAAUUACUUUACAACACUCCAGUGGAAGUGUAAUAAGGGAAGUUACAGUAACUAUAAACAAGCAUGAAAAAUAUUAUUCUGAUUU
rnacentral:snRNA from 1 species